rnacentral:sRNA from 1 species
GCCGGGCACGGCGGCCCACGCCUGUAAUCCCAGCAGCUUGGGAGGCUGAGACAGGAGGAUCUCGAGUUCAAAUCCAGCCUCUG